UGGAUAACCCAAGCCAUGUGUAGACAAAGGAGCCUUGGAGGACAGUUGGAAAAGCUGUGGGGAUGGCCGUCUGCCCCACCCCUGCCCUGCUCGCUCAGUACAAAUAGCUGCCCCUGCCCUGCAGAAGGCCAAGUAGAAUGGGGGAAGGCCUGGGUCAGCUGAGCCAGUCCAGGGGGCAGGGUGCCUAUGGGAGCCUGCAGGAUGGUGACAUCAGAAUAGUGACAUCACAAGCAACCCUCCAAAUAGAGAAAAGGGAGGAGCAAGACUCCUGCUUUCUCACCCAAGGAGACCAGCGUCCUGAGUAAGGAGAUGCCUAGUCUUGUCCUGCUUGACUCAGCCCGGGGCGCCAGACUCCUCUGCUGUGUGACCCUGUGUCUCCUGGGGGCAGGUCCAGGGGACGCUGGAGUCGUUCAGUCCCCAAGACACCUGAUCAAAGGAAAGCAGGAAACAGCCAUUCUGAAAUGCUACCCCUUCUCUGGACAUGACACUGUGUACUGGUACCAGCAGGCUCCAGAUCAGGGACUCCAGUUCCUCAUUUCAUAUUAUGAUAAAACGCAGAGAGACAAAGGAAACAUGCCUCCACGAUUCUCAGCCCAGCAGUUUGAUGACCACCAUUCUGAGCUGAACUUGAGCUCCCUGGAGCUGGGGGACUCAGCUCUGUAUCUCUGUGCCAGCAGCUUGGCACAGCCCUGCAGAGUCACUGGCUUUCUGUACCCAAACCUUCCUGUCCCAGCUGAGGACGCAGUAGGGAGAGAGGGUGGAGACUGUCACACAGCUUUAGCCAGGCCCCAGGGAUGCUUCUAA